rnacentral:lncRNA from 1 species
CAACAUAUACAAUAUUUGAGAUCAAGAGAAAAAUAGGGUUGCAUCUUUACACUCCCGUGACCUGCAAUCCGUCGAGGCCGACAAGAUUUCGAUAUUGUCUCUAUGUCACCUCGUGCGAUUCAUGAAAACUCGUCGGCUCGAAAUCGGAAGAAGGGAAAACACGAAAGAUUCAUCUUGAUUACAUGAUGCUCUAGACAACCAGAUAAAACAAAGGAGCAAUGACUCAAAGUAAAAGAAAACGAGAAUCAAAAAAGGAGAGUAGGCCACGGUCCGGUUAGGCCGUCGCUGUGAUCUGGCUCGUCUCCGGACUCCUCCACGGCCCCGACCGCGCGUGCUUGUGGCUGGCUGUGGCUCGCCUUCGCAUCGCGAUCACUAGCACUCGCGCAUGGCCGGAUUUGGCUUCACCUUAGCCUUGCGUCGCCCACUCAUCUCGAGCUGGCCGGGCUCCGCUUUGCCUCUUGCUGCUCCUCGUACGCCUGCUCGAUGAUGCCACGUCCGCGCGUCUGCAUCGCGAUCUGGCUCCACCUCGCCACACUCCGGUCGCUUCCGUCUUCGAGCUACUGCAA